rnacentral:rRNA from 1 species
CCUACGGGAGGCAGCAGUGAGGAAUAUUGGUCAAUGGCCGUAAGGCUGAACCAGCCAAGUCGCGUGAAGGAAGAAGGAUCUAUGGUUUGUAAACUUCUUUUAUAGGGGAAUAAAGGUAUCCACGUGUGGAUAUUUGCAUGUACCCUAUGAAUAAGCAUCGGCUAACUCCGUGCCAGCAGCCGCGGUAAUACGGAGGAUGCGAGCGUUAUCCGGAUUUAUUGGGGUUAAAGGGUGCGUAGGUGGUUUUUUAAGUCAGCGGUGAAAGUUUGUGGCUCAACCAUAAAAUUGCCGUUGAAACUGGAAGACGUGAGUGUGUUUGAGGUGGGCGGAAUGCGUGGUGUAGCGGUGAAAUGCAUAGAUAUCACGCAGAACUCCGAUUGCGAAGGCAGCUUACUAAGCCAUAACUGACACUGAAGCACGAAAGCGUGGGGAUCAAACAGGAUUAGAUACCCCUGUAGUC